rnacentral:tRNA from 1 species
GGAGAGGUGCCAGAGUGGUCGAAUGGGCCUGACUCGAAAUCAGGUGUGCCCGCGAGGGUACCGGGGGUUCGAAUCCCCCCCUCUCCG